ACUCCUACGGGAGGCAGCAGUAGGGAAUUUUCCACAAUGGGCGAAAGCCUGAUGCAGCAACGCCGCGUGAGCGAUGAAGGCCUUCGGGUCGUAAAGCUCUGUCCUCAAGGAAGAUAAUGACGGUACUUGAGGAGGAAGCCCCGGUUAACUACGUGCCAGCAGCCGCGGUAAUACA
rnacentral:rRNA from 1 species